GCUUACGGCCAUACCACCCUGAAUGCGCCCGAUCUCGUCUGAUCUCGGAAGCUAAGC
rfam:Larimichthys crocea isolate SSNF unplaced genomic scaffold scaffold4273, whole genome shotgun sequence.